rnacentral:rRNA from 1 species
GAUGAACGCUAGCGGCAGGCCUAACACAUGCAAGUCGAGGGGUAUUAGGAGCUUGCUCCUAAGAGACCGGCGCACGGGUGCGUAACGCGUAUGCAAUCUACCUUUUACAGGGGAAUAGCCCAGAGAAAUUUGGAUUAAUGCCCCAUGGUAUAUAUGAAUCGCAUGGUUUAUAUAUUAAAGUUCCAACGGUAAAAGAUGAGCAUGCGUCCCAUUAGUUAGUUGGUAAGGUAACGGCUUACCAAGACGAUGAUGGGUAGGGGUCCUGAGAGGGAGAUCCCCCACACUGGUACUGAGACACGGACCAGACUCCUACGGGAGGCAGCAGUGAGGAAUAUUGGACAAUGGGCGCAAGCCUGAUCCAGCCAUGCCGCGUGCAGGAAGAAGCAUCUAUGGUGUGUAAACUGCUUUUGUACGGGAAGAAACAUCACUACGUGUAGUGACUUGACGGUACCGUAAGAAUAAGGAUCGGCUAACCCUGCCAGCAGCCGCGUAA